AUUGAACGCUGGCGGCAGGCCUAACACAUGCAAGUCGAACGGUAACAGGAAGCAGCUUGCUGCUUUGCUGACGAGUGGCGGACGGGUGAGUAAUGUCUGGGAUACUGCCCGAUGGAGGGGGAUAACUACUGGAAACGGUAGCUAAUACCGCAUAACGUCGCAAGACCAAAGAGGGGGACCUUAGGGCCUCUUGCCAUCGGAUGUGCCCAGAUGGGAUUAGCUAGUAGGUGGGGUAACGGCUCACCUAGGCGACGAUCCCUAGCUGGUCUGAGAGGAUGACCAGCCACACUGGAACUGAGACACGGUCCAGACUCCUACGGGAGGCAGCAGUGGGGAAUAUUGCACAAUGGGCGCAAGCCUGAUGCAGCCAUGCCGCGUGUAUGAAGAAGGCCUUCGGGUUGUAAAGUACUUUCAGCGGGGAGGAAGGGAGUAAAGUUAAUACCUUUGCUCAUUGACGUUACCCGCAGAAGAAGCACCGGCUAACUCCGUG
rnacentral:rRNA from 1 species